GACGAACGCUGGCGGCGUGCCUAAUACAUGCAAGUAGAACGCUGAAGGAGGAGCUUGCUUCUCUGGAUGAGUUGCGAACGGGUGAGUAACGCGUAGGUAACCUGCCUGGUAGCGGGGGAUAACUAUUGGAAACGAUAGCUAAUACCGCAUAAUAGCAGUUGUUGCAUGACAACUGUUUGAAAGGUGCAAUUGCACCACUACCAGAUGGCCCUGCGUUGUAUUAGCUAGUUGGUGGGGUAACGGCUCACCAAGGCGACGAUACAUAGCCGACCUGAGAGGGUGAUCGGCCACACUGGGACGGAGACACGGCCCAGACUCCUACGGGAGGCAGCAGUAGGGAAUCUUCGGCAAUGGACGGAAGUCUGACCGAGCAACGCCGCGUGAGUGAAGAAGGGUGUCGGAUCGUAAAGCUCUGUUGUAAGAGAAGAAAGAGUGUGAGAGUGGAAAGUUCACACUGUGACGGUAUCUGACCAGAAAGGGACGGCUAACUACGUG
rnacentral:rRNA from 1 species